CGGGGUGUAGCUCAGCCUGGUAGAGCGCUAGCUUUGGGAGCUAGAAGCCGGAGGUUCGAAUCCUCUCGCCCCGACCA
rnacentral:tRNA from 2 species